rnacentral:lncRNA from 1 species
UGCAAACUAGUGGCAGCACAGAGAGGAAUUCAGGUUUGAGCACUAAAGCCUCAAAGGGACCUGCUGUGUCCGAGGUGGCUGAGUCAGUGCACGAACUGCACACACACGCACACCCUUCUGGAUUUCAUCACGCCGGCACUUCCCUGGUCGCUCUUCUUGCUAUCUGAAUAUCACACUGUAUUGUAAUAAGUGGCCCUCCCCUCUUCCCUUGCCCUGUGAGAAUCAAGUGC